rnacentral:rRNA from 1 species
AGUGAACGCUGGCGGUGGGCCUAACACAUGCAAGUCGAACGGCAGCACAGAGGAGCUUGCUCCUUGGGUGGCGAGUGGCGGACGGGUGAGGAAUACAUCGGAAUCUACUCUGUCGUGGGGGAUAACGUAGGGAAACUUACGCUAAUACCGCAUACGACCUACGGGUGAAAGCAGGGGAUCUUCGGACCUUGCGCGAUUGAAUGAGCCGAUGUCGGAUUAGCUAGAUGGCGGGGUAAAGGCCCACCAAGGCGACGAUCCGUAGCUGGUCUGAGAGGAGUAUCGGCCACACUGGAACGUAGACACGGUCCAGACUCCUCCGGGAGGCAGAAGUGGGGAAUAGUGGACAAUGGGCGCAAGCCUGAUCCAGCCCUACCGCGUGGGUGAAGAAGGCCUUCGGGUUGUAAAGCCCUUUUGUUGGGAAAGAAAGCCAUCUGGUUAAUACCCGGGUGGGAUGACGGUACCCAAAGAAUAAGCACCGGCUAACUUCGUGCCAGCCGCCGCCGUAA